UUGUUUCACUCGAUAUCAGAGACAUCGUGUUUUCGUGGACGACACAAAUCUUCGAAAUCACGAAAGCUCGUAUAUCACACGUGGCCAUGGACGAUGUUUUGAUGUAACGAAAGACAAAGUGAAAUUUCAUGUUAAUAAAAAUGACUCAUCGAAGACGAGGAAUGUUGUUUCGUAUGAAUAAUUCGUUAAUUAACAUUAGUUUUUGCUGCUCACGCGAUGCUUUUUGUUGUCUAUACAUUUGCUGAUUAAACGCACACGAAAUAAUUAUACGAAGCUGCUUGCACUUUUUAGAAAGCAAAAUGUUAAAACAGUGCUAAAUGAGGUCAUCGCAGCGUGUAACAAAAUGGAGAUAAGGGAACCACUGGGAAUACAGGAGCUUUACCUUUGCGAGGUCUCUUCACUUGGUCGUGUGACGUGCCCACGUAGUCCUUUGCACCUCAGACAUCAGAUCACUCCUCGAAGGCAAACGCGCGCUG